GACAGUGCGAUGCCCCCAGAGCGGGGCUAAGAGUCCCGUCACUGUGUGCGUGUGCUCAGUGUUCUGGGAGCCUGAGAGUCCUGGGAGUGCCUGCCAGUCCUCUCUACACACCGCAGACGGAAUAGUCAUGACGCAUCUCUUCCCUUCCGAAGCGCUGUUUCACGCACCCACUUUCAGGGGAGCAAGACGUCCUGUUCAAAGGGACUGAAGGAGGACAGGAAGAUGGCAGAAGAGCAGCCCGCGAGCCACUGCUGUGUCUGUGCACAUCAACUACAGACUGCAAGCUCAAUGAAUCCCUGUUUUUAAACAAGAGAAUGAAUGAAAGCGUUGAGUGCAGCAGCCAUGAGGUUCCCUACUGUCACAGCUCACAUAUCAAGGUUAUGCUAGUCUUAUGAAACAAGGAGGAGAGUGUUCCUGGUUUACCCCAAGAGUUCCUGUGAGAUUGCUGUUUACUUCCCUGGCUUUUUGGAAGAAUUGAUUGGCAAAACAAGUAAAGCAUUUCCCACUGCUAGGAAUUUAGUGAGGCCAGCAGACUCUACAAUUGGAGUUGGCCACAUCUCAACAACUAAAGGCAUGCAGGGAGCAGCUUCUUACAAGAGAAGCGGAAAUCGCGGAGCUGAAAGCCGAAAGGAACAACACCAGGCUGCUGCUGGAACACCUGGAGAUCCUGGUUUCCCGGUAUGUGCCGUCCCUCCGGAUGACGGCGGGCCCGCAGCAGGCGCAGUCCCCAGCCAGCAUGACCAGCGAGGUGGAGCUGCUCAGGGCGCUGAGAUUGCUCUUUGAGCACCACAAGGCCCUGGACGAGAAGUGGAGAGAGCAACUACGACACGCUCUCGAAAGGUGUAGUUCCUUAGAAGAGGAAUUAAGGACCGCAGACAAACAGGUGAG